GUUCUGGUGGACUAGGGGUUAGAGCGUCCGCCUUGGAUGUGAAAGGUCGCAGGUUCGAACCCCGGCCUCGAGUU